rnacentral:rRNA from 1 species
UACGGAGGGGGCUAGCGUUGUUCGGAAUUACUGGGCGUAAAGCGCACGUAGGUGGCUUUGUAAGUUAGAGGUGAAAGCCCGGAGCUCAACUCCGGAAUUGCCUUUAAGACUGCAUCGCUAGAACGUCGGAGAGGUGAGUGGAAUUCCGAGUGUAGAGGUGAAAUUCGUAGACAUUCGGAAGAACACCAGUGGCGAAGGCGACUCACUGGACGACUGUUGACACUGAGGUGCGAAAGCGUGGGGAGCAAACAGG